rnacentral:lncRNA from 12 species
GAAAGUAGAAUGAAAAAUCAUCUAACCUGAAGAGGAAAAUGCAACACAGAAAGUUAUUGCCCAAAGUGAGAUUAGCCUUUCUUAACUUUUAAAAGACUGGACUGGAGCAAACAAGGAUAUCAACAAAAAUUCUCUUUAAUAAGAGCCAGUAUAAAACCUGAAAUUAUGUAUCACGGGGAAUAAAUUGUAGAUAGGGAGGUAAGUAGGUAGGGUAUAUAUUUUAUUCUGGAUUUGGAUCCUAUCAAGAUCAUGAGGCUAUUUUCUUAGAGGGGAAAAAGUGUCUUACUGGACAAUUUCCCUAUUACAUGGGGAAUGUAAUGGAAUAAAAGAAUGGCAAAAGACAUUGAUUUGGGGAGCAUGUGAAGCUGUGGGGGCCAGGGGCCCUUGCUGGAAGCAGAAAAGACUGAGUAGUUAACUGUUGGAGGCAAAAAUAACUGCCAGCCUGGGAGUUGAAAGUGUUGGGAGGGGGGAUAGAAUGGAGCACACAUAAGAGCUCCAUGGGCAAAAGCUGCUCUCAUGAAGAAGCCCUAGUAUAUCUGACCCUGUCUGAAGGAGUGGUGGCCCACAAAGCUCAAUGCUUUCAGUUCCUAGCAGAGAAGGCUGAUGAGGCCUAUGUGGAAAAGGACGACAUCGAGCAAAGGACAUAGGUGGAAACUCCCUCCACCUGCAGCACACCGUCUGCUACUCUCAGCUGAGAGAUUUGAAGAGAGCAAGAAGAUUUACUUCAGAUGGCUGUGGCAUCCCUGUCAUCAUCCCCAUCUACAUUUCAGGGAGGGGUAUGCAGGAGGGAGAAGAGGAAGUAGCUGUCAUUAUGAAGCAAGAUUUUGGAAACAGGCCUGA